AAUUUUUGAUUAAAUAGCCAAAAGAUCGUUAAUGGUGAAUAACAAAUUGCCCCUGUAUAUAUGCAACCCAUUCUCUUCUUCCUUCCCGCAUUUGUUUUUCUCAACCUGACGCAUCGGAAGUGUUAAAAUUGUUGAUUUUUUCCUAAUUAUUCCUUGUUUUUAAACAAAUUAUCUCAGAAUUGAUGAAAUUUAAAGUAACUUAUGUAAAAUAAGGUAAAUUAGAAAGAAUUCAUCGUUUCAUAAUAUACAAAAUCAGAAGAAAUCAGAAAAAAGUAGUGCAAUAAUUACAAGAAUGCCGGUGACGGAAAAUUUUGAGGUUAUGUUUUUUAUCCACGACAACUUGAGCAACAAAGAGGAAUGUGUGAGUAAAUUAUGAAUUUCAACAAAUAAAAAAUAAGAUAAAAAGUGUUUGCAAUUUGGAAGGUGAUUUUUACGGAAAAUUGGCGCAGGAUCUCUGUAUACUGGGUA